rnacentral:tRNA from 1 species
CGGGGCGUGGCGCAGUCUGGUAGCGCACUUGACUGGGGGUCAAGUGGUCACAGGUUCAAAUCCUGUCGUCCCGACCA